rnacentral:rRNA from 1 species
AGUGAACGCUGGCGGUAGGCCUAACACAUGCAAGUCGAACGGCAGCACAGUAAGAGCUUGCUCUUACGGGUGGCGAGUGGCGGACGGGUGAGGAAUACAUCGGAAUCUACUUUUUCGUGGGGGAUAACGUAGGGAAACUUACGCUAAUACAGCAUACGACCUACGGGUGAAAGCAGGGGAUCUUCGGACCUUGCGCGAUUGAUUGAGCCGAUGUCGGAUUAGCUAGUUGGCGGGGUAAAGGCCCACCAAGGCGACGAUCCGUAGCUGGCCUGAGAGGAUGAUCAGCCACACUGGAACUGAGACACGUCCCAGACUCCUACGGGAGGCCGCAGCGGGGAAUAUUGCACAAUGGGCGCAAGCCUGAUCCAGCCAUACCGCGUGGGUGAAGAAGGCCUUCGGCUUGUAGAGCCCUUUUGUUGGGAAAGAAAAGCAGCAGGUUAAUACCCCGCGGUUCUGACGGUACCCAAAGAAUAAGCACCGGCUAACUUCGUG